UAACACAUGCAAGUCGAGGGGCAGCAUUUUAGUUUGCUUGCAAACUGAAGAUGGCGACCGGCGCCCGGGUGAGUAACACGUAUCCAACCUGCCGAUAACUCCGGGAUAGCCUUUCGAAAGAAAGAUUAAUACCGGAUAGCAUACGAAUAUCGCAUGAUAUUUUUAUUAAAGAAUUUCGGUUAUCGAUGGGGAUGCGUUCCAUUAGUUUGUUGGCGGGGUAACGGCCCACCAAGACUACGAUGGAUAGGGGUUCUGAGAGGAAGGUCCCCCACAUUGGAACUGAGACACGGUCCAAACUCCUACGGGAGGCAGCAGUGAGGAAUAUUGGUCAAUGGGCGCGAGCCUGAACCAGCCAAGUAGCGUGAAGGAUGAAGGCUCUAUGGGUCGUAAACUUCUUUUAUAUGGGAAUAAAGUUUUCCACGUGUGGAAUUUUGUAUGUACCAUAUGAAUAAGGAUCGGCUAACUCCGUGCCAGCAGCCGCGGUAAUACGGAGGAUCCGAGCGUUAUCCGGAUUUAUUGGGUUUAAAGGGAGCGUAGGUGGAUUGUUAAGUCAGUUGUGAAAGUUUGCGGCUCAACCGUAAAAUUGCAGUUGAAACUGGCAGUCUUGAGUACAGUAGAGGUGGGCGGAAUUCGUGGUGUAGCGGUGAAAUGCUUAGAUAUCACGAAGAACUCCGAUUGCGAAGGCAGCUCACUAGACUGUCACUGACACUGAUGCUCGAAAGUGUGGGUAUCAAACAGGAUUAGAUACCCUGGUAGUCCACACAGUAAACGAUGAAUACUCGCUGUUUGCGAUAUACAGUAAGCGGCCAAGCGAAAGCAUUAAGUAUUCCACCUGGGGAGUACGCCGGCAACGGUGAAACUCAAAGGAAUUGACGGGGGCCCGCACAAGCGGAGGAACAUGUGGUUUAAUUCGAUGAUACGCGAGGAACCUUACCCGGGCUUAAAUUGCAACAGAAUAUAUUGGAAACAGUAUAGCCGUAAGGCUGUUGUGAAGGUGCUGCAUGGUUGUCGUCAGCUCGUGCCAUGAGGUGUCGGCUUAAGUGCCAUAACGAGCGCAACCCUUAUCUUUAGUUACUAACAGGUCAUGCUGAGGACUCUAGAGAGACUGCCGUCGUAAGAUGUGAGGAAGGUGGGGAUGACGUCAAAUCAGCACGGCCCUUACGUCCGGGGCUACACACGUGUUACAAUGGGGGGUACAGAAGGCGGCUACCUGGUGACAGGAUGCUAAUCCCAAAAACCUCUCUCAGUUCGGAUCGAAGUCUGCAACCCGACUUCGUGAAGCUGGAUUCGCUAGUAAUCGCGCAUCAGCCAUGGCGCGGUGAAUACGUUCCCGGGCCUUGUACACACCGCCCGUCAAGCCAUGAAAGCCGGGGGUACCUGAAGUACGUAACCGCAAGGAGCGUCCUAGGGUAAAACUGGUAAUUGGGGCUAAGU
rnacentral:rRNA from 1 species